GACGAACGCUGGCGGCGUGCUUAACACAUGCAAGUCGAACGAUGAAGCCGGAGCUUGCUCCGGUGGAUUAGUGGCGAACGGGUGAGUAACACGUGAGCAAUCUGCCCUUGACUCUGGGAUAACUGCGGGAAACUGUAGCUAAUACCGGAUACGACACCUUGGGGCAUCCCAGGGUGUGGAAAGAAUUUCGGUCAAGGAUGAGCUCGCGGCCUAUCAGCUAGUUGGUGAGGUAUGGCUCACCAAGGCGACGACGGGUAGCCGGCCUGAGAGGGUGAGCGGCCACACUGGAACUGAGACACGGUCCAGACUCCUACGGAAGGCAGCAGUGGGGAAUAUUGCACAAUGGGCGAAAGCCUGAUGCAGCAACGCCGCGUGAGGGAUGAAGGCCUUCGGGUUGUAAACCUCUUUUAGCAGGGAAGAAGCGAAAGUGACGGUACCUGCAGAAAAAGCACCGGCUAACUACGUGCCAGCCGCCGCGGUAA
rnacentral:rRNA from 1 species